rnacentral:rRNA from 1 species
UACGAAGGGGGCUAGCGUUGCUCGGAAUCACUGGGCGUAAAGGGUGCGUAGGCGGGUCUUUUAAGUCAGGGGUGAAAUCCUGGAGCUCAACUCCAGAACUGCCUUUGAUACUGAAGAUCUUGAGUUCGGGAGAGGUGAGUGGAACUGCGAGUGUAGAGGUGAAAUUCGUAGAUAUUGGGAGGAACAUCAGUGGCGAAAGCGGCACCCUGGCAUUAGCCUGACGCUGAGAUGCGAAAAGUGUGGGGAGCAAACGGG